GGCUUUGUAGUGUAGCGGUUAUCACUCAAGAUUCUGAUUCGCUCUGAUUUCUUGUAACCCCGGUUCGAAUCCGGGCAAGGCCU